GCUCAGUUAGUUUAGUAGUUAGAAUACUAGAUAAUUUUUUUAUUUUAGAAAUGCAGGUUCGAUUUCUGUACUGAAUC